rnacentral:rRNA from 1 species
AACACGGAGCUUGCUCUGUGGGAUCAGUGGCGAACGGGUGAGUAACACGUGAGCAACCUGCCCCUGACUCUGGGAUAAGCGCUGGAAACGGCGUCUAAUACUGGAUAUGUGACGUGACCGCAUGGUCUGCGUUUGGAAAGAUUUUUCGGUUGGGGAUGGGCUCGCGGCCUAUCAGCUUGUUGGUGAGGUAAUGGCUCACCAAGGCGUCGACGGGUAGCCGGCCUGAGAGGGUGACCGGCCACACUGGGACUGAGACACGGCCCAGACUCCUACGGGAGGCAGCAGUGGGGAAUAUUGCACAAUGGGCGAAAGCCUGAUGCAGCAACGCCGCGUGAGGGAUGACGGCCUUCGGGUUGUAAACCUCUUUUAGCAGGGAAGAAGCGAAAGUGACGGUACCUGCAGAAAAAGCGCCGGCUAACUACGUGCCAGCAGCCGCGGUAAUACGUAGGGCGCAAGCGUUAUCCGGAAUUAUUGGGCGUAAAGAGCUCGUAGGCGGUUUGUCGCGUCUGCUGUGAAAUCCCGAGGCUCAACCUCGGGCCUGCAGUGGGUACGGGCAGACUAGAGUGCGGUAGGGGAGAUUGGAAUUCCUGGUGUAGCGGUGGAAUGCGCAGAUAUCAGGAGGAACACCGAUGGCGAAGGCAGAUCUCUGGGCCGUAACUGACGCUGAGGAGCGAAAGGGUGGGGAGCAAACAGGCUUAGAUACCCUGGUAGUCCACCCCGUAAACGUUGGGAACUAGUUGUGGGGUCCAUUCCACGGAUUCCGUGACGCAGCUAACGCAUUAAGUUCCCCGCCUGGGGAGUACGGCCGCAAGGCUAAAACUCAAAGGAAUUGACGGGGACCCGCACAAGCGGCGGAGCAUGCGGAUUAAUUCGAUGCAACGCGAAGAACCUUACCAAGGCUUGACAUAUACGAGAACGGGCCAGAAAUGGUCAACUCUUUGGACACUCGUAAACAGGUGGUGCAUGGUUGUCGUCAGCUCGUGUCGUGAGAUGUUGGGUUAAGUCCCGCAACGAGCGCAACCCUCGUUCUAUGUUGCCAGCACGUAAUGGUGGGAACUCAUGGGAUACUGCCGGGGUCAACUCGGAGGAAGGUGGGGAUGACGUCAAAUCAUCAUGCCCCUUAUGUCUUGGGCUUCACGCAUGCUACAAUGGCCGGUACAAAGGGCUGCAAUACCGUGAGGUGGAGCGAAUCCCAAAAAGCCGGUCCCAGUUCGGAUUGAGGUCUGCAACUCGACCUCAUGAAGUCGGAGUCGCUAGUAAUCGCAGAUCAGCAACGCUGCGGUGAAUACGUUCCCGGGUCUUGUACACACCGCCCGUCAAGUCAUGAAAGUCGGUAACACCUGAAGCCGGU